rnacentral:rRNA from 1 species
CCUACGGGGGGCAGCAGUGGGGAAUAUUGGGCAAUGGGCGCAAGCCUGACCCAGCAACGCAGCGUGAAGGAAGAAGGCUUUCGGGUUGGAAACCUCUUUUCUGAGGGAAGUAGAAAGUGACGGUACCUCAGGAAUAAGCCACGGCUAACUACGUGCCAGCAGCCGCGGUACUACGUAGGUGGCAAGCGUUAUCCGGAUUUAUUGGGUUUAAAGGGGGUGUAGGCGGGAAAGCAAGUCAGAUGUGAAAACUCAGGGCUCAACCCUGGGCCUGCAUUUGAAACUGUUUUUCUUGAGUGCUGGAGAGGCAAUCGGAAUUCCGUGUGUAGCGGUGAAAUGCGUAGAUAUACGGAGGAACCCCAGUGGCGAAGGCGGCUUGCUGGACAGUAACUGACGCUGAGGCGCGAAAGCGUGGGGAGCAAACAGGAUUAGAUACCCCAGUAGUC